rnacentral:rRNA from 1 species
AGAGUUUGAUCCUGGCUCAGGACGAACGCUGGCGGCGUGCCUAAUACAUGCAAGUAGAACGCUGAAGUCUGGUGCUUGCACUAGACGGAUGAGUUGCGAACGGGUGAGUAACGCGUAGGUAACCUGCCUCAUAGCGGGGGAUAACUAUUGGAAACGAUAGCUAAUACCGCAUAACAGUAUUUACCGCAUGGUAGAUAUUUGAAAGGAGCAAUUGCUUCACUAUGAGAUGGACCUGCGUUGUAUUAGCUAGUUGGUGAGGUAACGGCUCACCAAGGCUUCGAUACAUAGCCGACCUGAGAGGGUGAUCGGCCACACUGGGACUGAGACACGGCCCAGACUCCUACGGGAGGCAGCAGUAGGGAAUCUUCGGCAANUAAUAGUGAAGAAAGGCGAAAGCCAAGAAAGAGGUACUAAUAUGAUUAAAUUCAGUAUUCGUGGAGAAAACCUUGAAGUUACAGAAGCACUUCGCACCUAUGUAGAAGAGAAAGUGGCUAAGAUUGAGAAAUAUUUCAAUGAAGAACAAGAGUUGAAUGCUAAAGUAAAUCUAAAAGUUUACCGUGACAAGCGCGCAAAAGUAGAAGUGACAAUUCCAGUUGGAGCAGUUACACUUCGCGCAGAAGAUAUUUCACAAGAAAUGUAUGGCUCUAUCGAUCUUGUAGUAGAUAAGAUUGAACGCCAAAUUCGUCGUAACAAAACCAAGAUUGAACGAAAGCAUCGUCAAAAAGUGGCAACUGGUCAAGUCUUUACAGAUGAACUUGUUGAGCAAACAGGCGAGGAAGUAAAAGUGGUUCGUACUAAGCAAGUAGACUUGAAACCAAUGGAUAUGGAAGAAGCAGUCCUCCAAUUGGAGUUGCUCGGACAUGAUUUCUUUAUCUAUACAGAUGCUAAUGACGGUACAACAAAUGUAUUGUAUAGACGCGAAGAUGGAGAUUUGGGUCUUCUAGAGGUACGUCAAUAAAGAUAAUAAAACAGUUGCAGUUUUUGCAGCUGUUUUAUCAUUUUCAAAAAACCGGUUGACAAUGUAUAUAAGUCGUGAUAGAAUAAAUGAGUUGUCUCUUGAGGGACUAGUUAACAGAGAAACGAAAAAAGUUUCAAAAAAGUGUUGACAAAGUUCACAAGAAAUGAUAAACUAAGAUAGUUGUCGCGAGAGCGCGAUAACGACAAGACCUUUGAAAAUUAAAGAAGACGAACCAAACGUGCAGGGUGAUUUAUCUAAAGAUAAAUCGUCAAUGACAAAACAAAACAAUAAAACGGAAAGCUAGCAAUAGCUUGAGUUUGAAUCAAAACUUUUUAUGAGAGUUUGAUCCUGGCUCAGGACGAACGCUGGCGGCGUGCCUAAUACAUGCAAGUAGAACGCUGAAGUCUGGUGCUUGCACUAGACGGAUGAGUUGCGAACGGGUGAGUAACGCGUAGGUAACCUGCCUCAUAGCGGGGGAUAACUAUUGGAAACGAUAGCUAAUACCGCAUAACAGUAUUUACCGCAUGGUAGAUAUUUGAAAGGAGCAAUUGCUUCACUAUGAGAUGGACCUGCGUUGUAUUAGCUAGUUGGUGAGGUAACGGCUCACCAAGGCUUCGAUACAUAGCCGACCUGAGAGGGUGAUCGGCCACACUGGGACUGAGACACGGCCCAGACUCCUACGGGAGGCAGCAGUAGGGAAUCUUCGGCAAUGGGGGCAACCCUGACCGAGCAACGCCGCGUGAGUGAAGAAGGUUUUCGGAUCGUAAAGCUCUGUUGUAAGAGAAGAACUGUGAGAAGAGUGGAAAGUUUCUCACUUGACGGUAUCUUACCAGAAAGGGACGGCUAACUACGUGCCAGCAGCCGCGGUAAUACGUAGGUCCCGAGCGUUGUCCGGAUUUAUUGGGCGUAAAGCGAGCGCAGGCGGUUUGAUAAGUCUGAAGUAAAAGGCUGUGGCUUAACCAUAGUACGCUUUGGAAACUGUCAAACUUGAGUGCAGAAGGGGAGAGUGGAAUUCCAUGUGUAGCGGUGAAAUGCGUAGAUAUAUGGAGGAACACCGGUGGCGAAAGCGGCUCUCUGGUCUGUAACUGACGCUGAGGCUCGAAAGCGUGGGGAGCGAACAGGAUUAGAUACCCUGGUAGUCCACGCCGUAAACGAUGAGUGCUAGGUGUUGGGUCCUUUCCGGGACUCAGUGCCGCAGCUAACGCAUUAAGCACUCCGCCUGGGGAGUACGACCGCAAGGUUGAAACUCAAAGGAAUUGACGGGGGCCCGCACAAGCGGUGGAGCAUGUGGUUUAAUUCGAAGCAACGCGAAGAACCUUACCAGGUCUUGACAUCCCGAUGACCGCCCUAGAGAUAGGGUUUCUCUUCGGAGCAUCGGUGACAGGUGGUGCAUGGUUGUCGUCAGCUCGUGUCGUGAGAUGUUGGGUUAAGUCCCGCAACGAGCGCAACCCCUAUUGUUAGUUGCCAUCAUUCAGUUGGGCACUCUAGCGAGACUGCCGGUAAUAAACCGGAGGAAGGUGGGGAUGACGUCAAAUCAUCAUGCCCCUUAUGACCUGGGCUACACACGUGCUACAAUGGCUGGUACAACGAGUCGCAAGUCGGUGACGGCAAGCUAAUCUCUUAAAGCCAGUCUCAGUUCGGAUUGUAGGCUGCAACUCGCCUACAUGAAGUCGGAAUCGCUAGUAAUCGCGGAUCAGCACGCCGCGGUGAAUACGUUCCCGGGCCUUGUACACACCGCCCGUCACACCACGAGAGUUUGUAACACCCGAAGUCGGUGAGGUAACCUUUUAGGAGCCAGCCGCCUAAGGUGGGAUAGAUGAUUGGGGUGAAGUCGUAACAAGGUAGCCGUAUCGGAAGGUGCGGCUGGAUCACCU